AUGGCCAAAGGUGAAGAUUUCAGUUCUCCAGGAAGGAGUAUAAAAAGUUCUGAUAAAAGGAUCUUAACAUCCCCAAAAUCAGGCUCAUAUAAACGAAAUGUUCUUUUAAGUUCUUACAAAGGGAUCACAAAAGAGCCAUUAUACAGUGCCAAGAAACACAAGGUCAAGGAGACAACCAAUCCCAGUGGGAUUUAUGAGAAACUGUGCCAAGAGAGAGGACUUAUUUUGGAGUUCAAGGAAGCGGAUGUUUGACAAUGUCAGAUGCAGGAUUUCUCUGUGCCAGGAUAAGAAACUUGAUACCUCCCAAAAUCCAGAAACUGAACUGUUUGGACAAAGCGCUAUGGAGAUGCCUGCAGAAAUCUCACAGUAAACCAAAGGAUCCAGAAUGAACUUUGGAAUGUAGUGGAAUUGAACUGUGGAAGUUGAACACAUUUAUUUUGAAUGUAAACUCUUAUGCCAAAAGGGACUGCCCCCUUAUUGGCUUUUUUUGUCAAUGCGCCUAGCAACCAUUGUUUUUUGUUCUCUUUUUCUUUUAUUUCCCUCUUAUCCCCAUAUUAUUGUAAUUUCCCCUUAGAAAGUGCAAUAUCGUAUAUACAUCUAGUUGAAGAUCUUUAGAAAUGUAAAUUGGUUAUUUGUACUGAUUACAGGGAGAAACUAAGUGUGGGGAUCUGAGACAUUUCUAAUGCUCAUUUCCCAUGAGAAUUACAGGGGGGGAUUGUGUAAUUACAAUUUGAACCCUAGAACUACAAUUCCCAGCAUCCCUCUUUCCUUCUUACAUUAUGUGCUGAUGUAGGGAGGACAUAAUAUUUGUGUAAUCUCACUGUCUUCACUGACUCCCCUCUCCCUCUCUAUACAUCUACCCCUCUGCCCAGCAACCCAAUGUGAUAGUUUCCCCCUCCCCUAUAUGGAAUAGAGUUUGAGGGGGAGGGAAGGCACUUAGUCUCUAAAAGGUUCAUCAUCACUGCUCUAGCUCCACAUAGCAUCUUACCUCUUUCCUUCUCAACAGACAAUAUUGCCACCCUUUAUUACCAAUAGUCCCUUCCUUGAUGAAGUCCCUACCCUAGGUUGAACAGAAACACUGACUUGAGCUACUACUGGUCACUUGAAAAGAAAGAUAUUCCUCUUCCUACUUCCCAAAAGGUGGAGACAGUAAAGGAACAAGGAGUCUUUGAUCUUCUUGUAUCAUGGGGACAUCCCAAGUUGGAAGUCUAAACAUAUUUUCCCACAAAAUCAGUUUUACAUGACAGUAGGAUUUUAUAAUUCUAUCUGAGCUCAUCUGUAAA
rnacentral:lncRNA from 1 species